AAGAGCUUAGUAUAGCGGUAAUACGUUGAUUUCCAAAAUCAAAAUCGGUUGUUCGAUUCGACCAGUUCUUG
rfam:Serendipita vermifera MAFF 305830 unplaced genomic scaffold scaffold_150, whole genome shotgun sequence.